GGAUGUGAGGGCAAUCUGUCUGCGACACCUGUCACCUCAUUGAUCGCCAGGGUUGAUUCAGCUGAUCUGGCUGUCUAGGGGAGAUGUCCCCUUCCUCCCUCACCACUCCAUGUGCGUCCCUCCUGAAGCUACAUGCUGGGUCAAAGAGGAUGGCCUUCCCCAAAUAGAGAUGGAGCAGUGCUCCC
rnacentral:snRNA from 1 species